rnacentral:rRNA from 1 species
GGGGGAAACAUAGACAAUGGGGGAAACCCUGAUCUUGCCAUGCCGCGUGAGCGAUGAGGGCCCUAGGGUUGUAAAGCUCUUUCGCCAGGGAAGAUAAUGACGGUACCUGGUAAAGAAACCCCGGCUAACUCCGUGCCAGCAGCCGCGGUAAUACGGAGGGGGUUAGCGUUGUUUGGAAUUACUGGGCGUAAAGCGCACGUAGGCGGGCUGGAAAGUUGGAGGUGAAAUCCCGGGGCUCAACCCCGGAACUGCCUCCAAAACUGUCAGCCUCGAGUCCGAGAGAGGUGAGUGGAACUCCGAGUGUAGAGGUGAAAUUCGUAGAUAUUCGGAAGAACACCAGUGGCGAAGGCGGCUCACUGGCUCGGUACUGACGCUGAGGUGCGAAAGUGUGGGGAGCAAACAGGAUUAGAUACCCUGGUAGUCCACACCGUAAACGAUGAAUGCCAGACGUCGGGCAGCAUGCUGUUCGGUGUCACACCUAACGGAUUAAGCAUUCCGCCUGGGGAGUACGGCCGCAAGGUU